AUUGAAACAAAAGUUAUGAAACAUUAUCCAAGGGAUGGCCGCUUGUUUUCUGGUGCAUGGAUCGCAUUAGCGCCAUGUCUUACAGAAGAAGUGCUGUGAGGUUUGAUCCUUGCCAAGUGCCUGCUGUGUGAUAAAUAGCAAGUGUCCAGUGCUUGGCCAAAAAUAAAGGAAUGAGAAAUAGAUAAGUACAGUCUUCUCAAGUCUCACAGUCUGUUAGGGAGACCCCUGCACAGACAGGUCACUGGAUAUUGCAUCCAAUGGUAGCACAAAGAAGGAGUAGUGUUUUCAGGUAAAUUUAGGAGAACAGAAUCUUACGUGAAUGACAGCAGCUCUGGCAAAAGCAUGGAGGCCUGAACCCACAGCAUUUGUGAGCUAUCAGACUGUGCCAUGUGGCUAGUA
rnacentral:lncRNA from 1 species